AAGAUUACUAAACAUUUGGACAGUUUUACUGUUCACCCGAAGCUCACUUACCUCUUCGCUGCGGCUGUUGACUGAGUACCGUCCAUCAUGGAUCCAAGGGGUCACAAGCGGACAUUGUUUAUCUCCUGUCUCUCUAGUUUAGUUUGAUGGCUAUAUAAGUUUGUGUAAGGCAGAUGGCAGGAUCUUAUCUCUUUUGUAUAUGGGGUUGAACCCUAGCCGACACCAUGUUCUGGCCGGCAUAAACUUUCCUAUAAUGAUUGGGAAUCCCCUGUAAAAUUCCUCUUUGUUCGACAAAUCACCGCGGCGGUGUCAUUGGGUUCUUCAACCCCAGCACCCGGCGUUGACGGCGGUGCUUGAUCGGACAUAGAUCGAGGGUUGCGGACGACCCAGGUGCGUGAAGUGGUCUCUCUACUUCAUCAUAUCAAUGGCAAAUUUCUGCAGUCAAAGUGCUAGUGCAAGUGCUGCCCACCAGGUGUUCGACACAAACCUUGGAAUGAAAAUAACCAUGCACACCAAGUGUUUGAUAGAAUUCGAGACCCUCGGGGCAGAGUCCUCCAUGUGGUAGUACAUCAAUAUCAGCAACUAGUGUCUCCAGAGUAGAUCGGUCAAGUGUUUUCUGCCGAUGGGAUAGUUGAGGAAAUGUUUCAGAACCCACAUCACGACUCACUGACAGAUACCUCGUCUAUAUUCAUUGAAUAUGCACAUGUUAGCAUGGCCAAUGAUGCUUUGCAUGGUUUACAUGGACUGUACCUGUACCGAGAUGAUUGUCAGUUGGAGAUUUGGAAGCAAAUAUUGACACUUUUGACCAAGUUCUCCAACAAUGGCCUAUCAAAUAGCAACACCAUCAAGGUAGCAACAACACCUCUAUUAUUACGCUCGCUCAUGAUAUUCUUUUAACUCAUGAUGACAAGGCACUAAAUGAUUUCCAUCCUGUCAACACACUUGGAGAAGAGUCAUCCAAUUUGCAAACUACUCAACCAUAUGCAACGAAAAUGAAGAAACAUGUAGAAGCUUACAAUACUUCCUAUAUUACUGGAAUUGUUGUGUCUUUUCCUUUACUCCAUGAGGAAGAAUUCCACACUAAUGAUCAAACAGACAUGCUUCUUUGAGAUGAUGUUCUUCACAUGUGUCGGCCAUGGCCACCACCUAUGGAGCAAGUACACCAUCAAAGCAGUAGUGAUUCUAUAGUGACAAUACUUAUACCAACUGAUUUUCUUACUGUCAAGGUAGUUGCAGAGGAGCCAUACAAUUCACAGACUGCUCGUAUUAACUGCCAAAUCACACUUGUUGUUCUCCACAUCAGUCAGCCAUGGGCAUCGCAUUUGGAUUGCGAUUAUCAGCAAUCGGCUACUAGUAUGGUUCUCCAUAGUACACCAUCUAAAAAGAAGGUUCCUCAUGUGCUAGCUCUAAUUCCUGGUAGCAACAAUGUGCAUGAAGGAGCUCAGGGAUGGAGAAAAAUUAUUUGUACAGUUCUUUUCUCACUCCUAUAAUGCAAUGACAGAGCUCCUGUCGACUUCGGUCAAAACAAUGUGCAUGAAGCAUCAAUAGUUAUUUCUGAUUUGUUGAACACAUUAAAACCAGUUCUUUGAUGUUA